rnacentral:rRNA from 1 species
GACAGAGGGGGCGAGCGUUAUCCGGAGUUAUUGGGCGUAAAGGGUACGUAGGCGGCUGGUCAAGUCUGGGGUUAAAGGCCACAGCUCAACUGUGGGAAGGCCCUGGAAACUGACCGGCUAGAGUGAGGUAGGGGUUGCGGGAAUUCCCGGUGUAGCGGUGAAAUGCGUAGAUAUCGGGAAGAACACAUGAGGCGAAAGCGCGCAACUGGGCCCUAACUGACGCUGAGGUACGAAAGUUAGGGGAGCGAAUAGG